AUCAUGCAUUUUUUUUUCUCUGCCAAUCAUUUCUCCUGCCAAUUUCAUUUAAAUAUUGAACCCUCAGAUGAUGAGAUGUGUGGGCGGAGCUUUCAGAGACAUUCAAGAGAAAUUUCAUUCCUCAAUAUUCAUUUGGGUUUUACUUUGCAUUCAUGAUGUUCCUGUGCUCUCUGCUUCUGCUUCUGCUGACAGUAAUACAGGAUGAAUGUUUUGCACAGACAAUAAAACCGCUGCAGGGCAGAACACAAGUUACUGAGGGGGAAACAGUCGUUCUUUCAUGCAAAUGUGAUGGCGGUGUACAGAGUGUAAUUUGGUAUCGACAAUAUCCUGGAUCAGGACUGGAAUUUCUGCUCCUUGUCGUUGAGUCAUCCAAGAAGACUGUAGUAUAUGCAGAUCCCCCAAUCCCAAGAAUGGAUGGAAACAUGAGUAUGGGAGAAAAGAAAGUGGAUCUGAAGAUCUCCUCUGCUGAAGUGACAGACUCUGCUGUGUAUUACUGCGCUCUGAAGCCCACAGUGACAGAAAACAUGAUAACACUGUACAAAAACCUCCAACCACACUCCAUAUGCAAUAAAUGAAUGGUGUUGAAAUUAAAUCUUUCAAACUAUUUCUAUCUUCUUCUAAUUAAACUCCAUGGCCCUGCUUUAUAAUUUCUGCAAGGCAAGGCAAGUUUAUU